rnacentral:rRNA from 1 species
UGCGGAAGGAUCAUUUGCGGAGGGAUCAUUACACGAGUAUGCGGGCGGCCUGGAACCUCUCGGGGUUACUGCCGUUCCUUGCUGAAUUAUUCUCCUUGUCUUGCAAGGGUUGCGUACUUCUUGUUUCCUUGGUGGGUUCGGCCACCACUAGGACAAAGCCUGACCCGUAAACCUUUUGUCAUUUAACUUGCAAUCAUUGUCAGAAACAGGUGUCAUUUAAUAUUUACAACUUUCAACAACGGAUCUCUUGGUUCUGGAAUCGAUGAAGAACGCAUCGAAAUGCGGGAAUUGUGUGAUUUGCAGAAAGAAUCCUUCCGUGAUUUUCGAAUCUAACUUGAACGCCCUUGCGCCCCUUGGCUAAGGGCACGUCUGCCUGGGCGUCACGCAUCGCGUCUCCCCCACAGGUUGGGAAGGAUGAUGGCUUCCCGUGCCUCACCGGGUGCGGUUGGCUUAAACUUGGAGCCCACGGUAAAUAUUUGCCGCGGCGAUAGGUGGUGAACUUGGCUUAGGCCGUGUAAACAACCCGUUGCGGUGUGU